AUUGAACGCUGGCGGCAGGCCUAACACAUGCAAGUCGAGGGGUAUAGGUUUUCGGACCUAGAGACCGGCGCACGGGUGCGUAACGCGUAUGCAAUCUACCUUUCACAGAGGGAUAGCCCAGAGAAAUUUGGAUUAAUACCUCAUAGUAUAGCAGUUUCGCAUGAAACCACUAUUAAAGUUCCAACGGUGAAAGAUGAGCAUGCAUCCCAUUAGCUAGAUGGUAAGGUAACGGCUUACCAUGGCUACGAUGGGUAGGGGUCCUGAGAGGGAGAUCCCCCACACUGGUACUGAGACACGGACCAGACUCCUACGGGAGGCAGCAGUGAGGAAUAUUGGUCAAUGGACGCAAGUCUGAACCAGCCAUGCCGCGUGCAGGAUGACGGUCCUAUGGAUUGUAAACUGCUUUUGUACGAGAAGAAACAACAUUACGUGUAAUGUCUUGACGGUAUCGUAAGAAUAAGGAUCGGCUAACUCCGUGCCAGCCGCCGCGGUAAAAC
rnacentral:rRNA from 1 species